rnacentral:lncRNA from 1 species
ACCAUAGGACAUAUUCUACUCUCAAGUUCUUUUUUUGUUGUUUUUUUUUCAACAAGUGGUGCAUUUCUUUUUCUAAAUUAGUAGACUGUUAUAAAUAUCCUUUGUUGUUGGCUACCCUGUAUUCAGUACAUGGGUAUAGUUAAGGGGAGUGCGCAAUUUCGGGGCAUCUAUGCGACUACAAAGAAUUCCACGUUAUUUUGGAGCUUUUGACGGUUUUGUUAAGGUUUAAAAGCAGUAGAAAUGUUUGAAACAGGAGUGAUGGGGAAUGGGAGGGGAGAUGGAAGGAUGUAAUGGGGAGAGAUGUGGGAGGGGGUGAAGGAAUAUGAGUGUGUGUGCAAUUUCAAGGCGGUCUUUCAAAUGCAAAAAAGGGAAAAUCAGUUUACAGAGAACGAAAACGAUUAACCUCUGUAUAUAUAGCUGCAACAUUAUAAAAGAAGAUACAACGUGUUUGCCAAUGCAGAUGCUGGAAUUCAUCAGUUGUACAGUUUACAAGGCAGCAAUGCGCGUAAUUUUAACUCGAGCUAGGUGGAUUCACCUAAACGGUGUGUGAGAGAAGGAAAGAAGAAGAGGGAACCAGUGGGAAGGGGGCGGGGGUGUAUGGACCUCACUGGUUGCGGGACCUAUAGGCACCCCGAUUGUGCUGUUGUUAUUUUUAGAGGUAAGGACAAAAGAAAUCAUUUUUUAGAGGAACGGCCCCUUAUUCCAAAGAGUGUGACGGGCCCCCCGACUUCGCCGCCGCUGGUCGGGGCUGUCAAGACGACCGACGGAGAGGGAAAAGCGGCGGAGCAGUCGACUCAAGUCCGGGGUUUCCUGCUACAGCAGCGGGAAUCACACAAAACACCCUUUCACUUCUCGUGGGGCCUUCAGCGUUCUCAGAUGUUCUCAUCCCUUCUCACUGACAAGAAAGGCCUGCAUUGAGAUAACCGUUGAAGAACGAAGAACAGAUCACAAUGAAAAGCCUUACUUUCAGAUGGUACCACAUGAAGAGGAGCUAGGCCAGAGGACCUUUAAAUGAAUGGCAAGAAAACAAGCAAAUAGUGUGGAAUAUAUCAGAGAGUCAGAUAUCCGUUCUAUAAAACUAAGAACAAAUAAAAAGGGAAGAACAAAAAAAUUAGUGUGCA